GACGAACGCUGGCGGCGUGCUUAACACAUGCAAGUCGAACGGAAAGGCCCUGCUUUUGUGGGGUGCUCGAGUGGCGAACGGGUGAGUAACACGUGAGUAACCUGCCCUUGACUUUGGGAUAACUUCAGGAAACUGGGGCUAAUACCGGAUAGGAGCUCCUGCUGCAUGGGGGGGGUUGGAAAGUUUCGGCGGUUGGGGAUGGACUCGCGGCUUAUCAGCUUGUUGGUGGGGUAGUGGCUUACCAAGGCUUUGACGGGUAGCCGGCCUGAGAGGGUGACCGGCCACAUUGGGACUGAGAUACGGCCCAGACUCCUACGGGAGGCAGCAGUGGGGAAUAUUGCACAAUGGGCGGAAGCCGGAUGCAGCAACGCCGCGUGCGGGAUGACGGCUUUCGGGUUGUAAACCGCUUUCGCCUGUGACGAAGCGUGAGUGACGGUAAUGGGUAAAGAAGCACCGGCUAACUACGU
rnacentral:rRNA from 1 species